rnacentral:rRNA from 1 species
AUUGAACGCUGGCGGAAUGCUUUACACAUGCAAGUCGAGCGGCAGCGCGGGGGCAACCCUGGCGGCGAGCGGCGAACGGGUGAGUAAUACAUCGGAACGUGUCCUUAAGUGGGGAUAGCUCGGCGAAAGCCGGAUUAAUACCGCAUAAGCUCUGAGGAGGAAAGCGGGGAUUCGCAAGGACCUCGCGCUGUUGGAGCGGCCGAUGUCGGAUUAGCUAGUUGGUGGGGUAAAGGCCCACCAAGGCGACGAUCCGUAGCUGGUCUGAGAGGAUGAUCAGCCACACUGGAACUGAGACACGGUCCAGACUCCUACGGGAGGCAGCAGUGGGGAAUUUUGGACAACGGGGC